GGGGCGUUAACUCAACUGGUAGAGUGCCAUCUUGACGUGGUGGAAGUUACAGGUUCGAGUCCUGUACGCCCCACCA
rnacentral:tRNA from 2 species